UGUUUUGGACUGGUUCAGCCUGGGAGAAGCUGCCUGAAGAUGGCAGGGCCUUGAGUGAGACACAACACGGCUGGGCUUCUCUCCACAGGUCUGGAGAAGGCGUGGGACGGCUGUGGACACUCCGAGAAGCCCUCGGUCCCCUCUGGAGACAACAAUGUUCACUGCGAAAGGAUGGAUCCUCCUUCUCCUUCUGGGAGCCACAUCUGUUUUAGGUCAAAGGCUUCUGCAACCAGCCCUCAGCAGGAUCCAGAUAGGACAGAAAACCUUCAGCCCGCUGGUAAUGCUCAGCUUGGAGAGUACAAGGAGCAACUCUCGCAGGGGAGACCCGACCUUCGCCUACGCCAGACGCAGUCCGCUGAUGCCAGAUUCAAAAAGGUUUUUGUCCCCAUGGUCGAAAUGGAGCGAAUGCUCAGGAAAGUGUGGCCAAACCGGCGUGCAGAAGCGAACCAGAUCCUGCCUAGCCGAGCGCCUCUGGGGCGUGCACUGUAACGAAGCCACCGAGGAAGGGCGGCUCUGCAUCGGACAUGUUUGCUCAGGUGCUCCUCUAACCUCACUUACAGGCGGGGGGACGAGGUCCUGAUCUCACCACCGCGUAGGCGUCCUACUCCCUCCCCUGCUGUUUCCAUCUCCCUUGCCAGGAUUUCGCGAUGCCGGUGCCUUCCUGAGCAGGGCUGGAGAGUACAUGGGGAGUUGAUGGCCAAAUAGCAAGAUUGGGGGGCGGAUCCAGAUAUGGGGAAUCAUCAGGAACCCAUAAAGAUCCUGGGGAUAUAGGAAAAAUCUCAUUAAUCUUGUUAUAACAGCAGCUCUCAUGGUAGAAUCAGCAAUUGCAGGCGUUUGCCUCCACGCAAUCAGCCCCAGGAAGGAAAAGAGUUGGGAAUAUUGAAUUGCCACAGCCCCUGCUGAAGAGGCUUGUAAUUAAUUAUAUUAUUCUUGUAAUCCCCUUUUUGAAUGAGUCACUCUGAAAAUAGUCCAUGUUUUCUCCAGGGAAGCUGCUUCAAGUUUUCCUUGAUUUCUUCAAUUUAUUUCCAGCUAUUUAAAAAAUUAUCAGGUAGCUGCUGUACAGGGAUGUGAUUGUACAAGGAAUGACCUGAGCCCUUGCCUUGGGAAGAGACAGAUUAUUAUUUAAGAUUAAUCACUGUAAGUAACGAAAAAACUUUCAGAAUCAUCAUUUGGGAGACCAUUCGUUAAGCCCAUCGGGUAGCGCUCGUUUGGCAAUUAACCUAUAUCCUGCCCAAGCCAGGAUACCAUCGAAUGAGGGGAGACAGCUUUUAAAACAGACCAAAAUCCUGACAUUUGGGCAUGAGUCAGUAACAGAAACCUACAAAGUUUAAGGCCCUUGGAUUUGUAAUUUUUCCAGGGUUGAGCUAAAAGCCCACAUGCUGAUCUGGAUUCAAGUUUCCCCGAAAUUCAGCCCUUUGGGGAAGGUAAACAACAGCCGUAAUUAUAUCCACGUGGCUGCUUUCUACUAAUUGUCAGGUUCAAAAUGACAUUGUCCCCGCGCUUCUAACGCACAGCUGUUGGUAAUCAGCAAAAAAAAAAAAUAAUAUGGUUUUGGAUACAAUAUAUUCCUUAUGCGGUAU
ensembl:lncRNA